rnacentral:ncRNA from 1 species
CGGGGACUUGCAGACUCCCCGCCAGACGGGCGUUGCCGUCCAAGCUCUGC